UGGGUUGCUAACUCAAUGGUAGAGUACUCGGCUUUUAACGACGAGCUCCGGGUUCGAGUCCCGGGCAACCCGG
rnacentral:tRNA from 1 species